rnacentral:rRNA from 1 species
CCUACGGGUGGCAGCAGUGAGGAAUAUUGGUCAAUGGACGAGAGUCUGAACCAGCCAAGUAGCGUGAAGGAUGACUGCCCUAUGGGUUGUAAACUUCUUUUAUAUGGGAAUAAAAUGUUCCACGUGUGGGAUUUUGUAUGUACCAUAUGAAUAAGGAUCGGCUAACUCCGUGCCAGCAGCCGCGGUAAUACGGAGGAUCCGAGCGUUAUCCGGGUUUAUUGGGUUUAAAGGGAGCGUAGGUGGAUUGUUAAGUCAGUUGUGAAAGUUUGGGGCUCAACCGUAAAAUUGCAGUUGAAACUGGCAGUCUUGAGUACAGUAGAGGUGAGCGGAAUUCGAGGUGUAGCGGUGAAAUGCUUAGAUAUCACGAAGAACUCCGAUUGCGAAGGCAGUUCACUGGACUGCAACUGACACUGAGGGUCGAAAGUGUGGGUAUCAAACAGGAUUAGAUACCCUAGUAGUC